rnacentral:tRNA from 1 species
CAGAAAGUAGUUUAAGUUAGAAUAUUAAUUUUGGAGAUUAAAGAUGGAAGUUAUUUUCUUUUCUGA